UAUUCUUCAAAUAAAGCCUGCUAUGGAAAACUCAUCAUCAUCUUCAACUCUUCCAAGAACUCGUCGUCUGGUCUUGAGGGCUAUGAACAUUGUGCUUUUUCUGAUUGCUACCUUUUUAAUUUCCGGUGAUAGGGAAAGUGAAGUGUUAGAAGCUAUGGUCUGAAAAUCAAAUUCAAAGAUCUUCUCUCCUAUCAAUUCAGUUUUUUUACAUUAUUGAUUGCAUCCGCGUAUACCGGCUUUCGAACAGCACUAUUAAUCUUCAAUGUAGACACAAGAAAGCGUUUUGGAAGUGGCAAUUUUGGUUGUUAUCUUGAUUAUGUUGAGAGGAUCAUAUUAUUCCUGACAGUAACAGGCAUUAUAGCUCGAUUUGUUGCAAUGGAAGAUGUUCACUAUAUUCGACAGUUUCUUUACUUAUAAAGGCAAAUUUUGUAAUAACACAAAAAAAAUUUAAUAAGAAAAAUUAAAUAUGUAAUAAUGUGUAUUUAUUGUAAAUAUAUUAAUUAUUGGGACAAAUAUGUCAAGAAGGGAAGCUGGUGUAGUGGUGGCUGUGCAAGUAUUCCCUCAAUAGGUCCCACAUUCAAAUUUGCUGGAAGCCACAAGGAGAAUUAUUUUUGCUUUUUGCUCUGUGAAAUUACCAAACUACCCCUCUGUUAAAUCUGAUAUAUUCUCCUCUACUUCUUUGAUUUUUCCAGAAAGAGACCGAGAGUGAGAGAGAGAGAGAGAGAGAGAGAAGUGGCUUUGAUUCUGCCAUUGUUCAAUCCUUUUGCUGCACCUUCUCCUUCGUCCUUCUGAUUACAAACUUCACCGACGUGAUUGUCGCUAUUCCGUUCUGCACUGAUCCAACAACUCAUGGUUUUUGUUUCCUUUCUUCUCCUCUGUUCCAGCUCACCAAAACUCAUUCUUCUACACUAUUGGUGACUGUAUGGAUGAGUGUAAGAUGGUUUGCUUUCUUUUGCUUGUUUUAUCAGUCACUAAUCUAUUCAUCUCUUCUCUAUACUCAACGACAAUCUCCUUUCCCUCCUCUGCACAGGCAUGAUUUUUUUUCUUUCUCUUCCUGUUGGUGCGUUUGAGUUUAUAUGAGGUGAGGAGCUUUGAUCUCGUCUCUUUUCCUUGGAUAAAUUCUGUGCGUGUGAGUAGGUGAAGUGAUGGAGAUGAAAUUUCAAAUUUUUCUUUUGGUUAUGCCUUCAUCCGUGCUGUGUAGGGAAAAAAAUUUUAAAUUCAAAGUUGAGUUAGAAAAAUAUCUUAAAAGUUCAUGAUGGUA